rnacentral:snoRNA from 1 species
UCUGCCCCUUGAGGCGCUGCAGUCUGACUGUCUGUCGAGCAUGUGUCAUGAGGGGCAGAGUGACAGGGUUGUCUACACCGAUGACACAGAAU